UACGGGGGGAGCAAGCGUUGUUCGGAUUUACUGGGCGUAAAGGGCGCGUAGGCGGUCAGCACAAGUCAGUUGUGAAAUCUCCGGGCUUAACCCGGAAAGGUCAACUGAUACUGUGCGACUAGAGUGCGGAAGGGGCAACUGGAAUUCUCGGUGUAGCGGUGAAAUGCGUAGAUAUCGAGAGGAACACCUGCGGCGAAGGCGGGUUGCUGGGCCGACACUGACGCUGAAGCGCGAAAGCCAGGGGAGCGAACGGG
rnacentral:rRNA from 1 species